AAGACAUGAUGUGGACAUUUCUUAAGAAUUUCUUAAAUCUCUCCCAAGCUUCAUAUAUUGAUUCUCCAUCUAAUUAAGUGAAUAAAGUGAUGAUAUUCCUAAGUUU